GAUGAACGCUGGCGGCGUGCCUAAUACAUGCAAGUCGAGCGAACAGACGAGGAGCUUGCUCCUCUGACGUUAGCGGCGGGCGGGUGAGUAACACGUGGAUAACCUCCCUAUAAGACUGGGAUAACUUCGGGAAACCUGAGCUAAUACCGGAUAAUAUAUUGAACCGCAUGGUUCAAUAGUGAAAGACGGUUUUGCUGUCACUUAUAGAUGGAUCCGCGCCGCAUUAGCUAGUUGGUAAGGUAACGGCUUACCAAGGCAACUAUGCGUAGCCGACCUGUGAGGGUGAGCGGCAACACUGGAACUGAGACACGGUCCAGACUCCUACGGGAGGCAGCAGUAGGGAAUCUUCCACAAUGGGCGAAAGCCUGACGGAGCAACGCCGCGAGAGUGAUGAAGGUCUUCGGAUCGUAAAACUCUGUUAUUAGGGAAGAACAAAUGUGUAAGUAACUAUGCACGUCUUGACGGUACCUAAUCAGAAAGCCACGGCUAACUACGUG
rnacentral:rRNA from 1 species